GAAAAGCUGCCUUUUGGAAGCAAGAUUUCCUCUGUCUGACCAGAAGAAUAGCCCCGCAAGAUAUCCAGCCUGACUACUAGAAUUUUUUCUGAACAAGGUACAAGCAAACAGCAGGAUGCAUUAACAGAAGGCUUGAUCUUCAGUGCAUUUUCUUAGAGGGUGAAGAACCUCCUAAAGAUACUGUAACCGGAGUAACUCCCGCGCUGGCAGCGUCUCAACAGCCCGGAGUGAACGAGCUGACCCCACCAGCGCCGGGACCCACGUCUGGGUCGGCCGCCCCCGCCAGCCCCACCCCCGAGCCUCCCCAGCCUGCGUCCCCAGCGCCCCGCACGCAGUAGGGGCUUUCGGGGCAUGUAUCCCCUAGGGCUGACUUUCCGCUAAGUGAACAGCCAUGUUAGCCUCCUCCGGGCGUAAAUCCACCAGGGUGAGCCGGCCAACGGCGGUCAGGAGCGCUCACCAGGUCCCCUCCGCACCUCCCCCCAAGGCUACGACUGUUUCCAAACUCCUGGGCGCACCCAGCCGGGCCCCUUGCCCUCUCACGGUUCAGCACCGAGGACAGCGGACAUACUUUUCUCCCCGGGGGGUCCCCGCCGCCAGGAAGGCGGUGUUGACAGCGUCCGCAGGGCUGCAGGUGUCCGUACCGCGCGCCCGCCCGUC
rnacentral:lncRNA from 1 species